AUUGAACGCUGGCGGCAGGCCUAACACAUGCAAGUCGAGCGGAUGAAGGGGGCUUGCUCCUGGAUUCAGCGGCGGACGGGUGAGUAAUGCCUAGGAAUCUGCCUGGUAGAGGGGGAUAACGUCCGGACACGGGCGCUAAUACCGCAUACGUCCAGAGGGAGAAAGUGGGGGAUCUUCGGACCUCACGCUAUCAGAUGAGCCUAGGUCGGAUUAGCUAGUUGGUGGGGUAAAGGCCUACCAAGGCGACGAUCCGUAACUGGUCUGAGAGGAUGAUCAGUCACACUGGAACUGAGACACGGUCCAGACUCCUACGGGAGGCAGCAGUGGGGAAUAUUGGACAAUGGGCGAAAGCCUGAUCCAGCCAUGCCGCGUGUGUGAAGAAGGUCUUCGGAUUGUAAAGCUCUUUUAGUUGGGAGGAAGGGCAGUAAGUUAAUACCUUGCUGUUUUGACGUUACCAACAGAAUAAGCACCGGCUAACUUCGUG
rnacentral:rRNA from 1 species